rnacentral:rRNA from 1 species
CGUAGGCAGCAAGCGUUGUUCGGAGUUACUGGGCGUAAAGGGUGUGUAGGCGGUUCUCUAAGUUUGGUGUGAAAUCUCCCGGCUCAACUGGGAGGGUGCGCCGAAAACUGGAGGGCUAGAGUACUGGAUGGGAGAGUGGAAUUCCUGGUGUAGCGGUGAAAUGCGUAGAUAUCAGGAGGAACACCUGUGGUGUAGACGGCUCUCUGGACAGUAACUGACGCUGAGACACGAAAGCGUGGGUAGCAAACAGGAUUAGAUACCCUGGUAGUCCACGCCCUAAACGAUGCAUAUUUGGUGUGGGCCAUUCAUUUGGUCUGUGCCGGAGCUAACGCGUUAAAUAUGCCGCCUGGGGAGUACGGUCGCAAGGCUG